ACAGUUUUCUCUUUUUUGUUUUUAAAACAAGUGUUCCCCCUCCCCCCAUUACACACAUCGCAUCAAAGCAUCUUUAUUGUUUAAUGAAAUAAAUCCCUCCCAGUGAGUGGACUGUUUAGUUAAUUUGUAAAAAGAAAUGUAAUUGUUGUAUAGAAAUGUGCCUUGGGGGUCACCGUAGAGCCUGGAAGUUAGUCUCAAGACUUUAAAAAAAGUCAAUAGUUACUGGACUGUUUUGAAGUAUCACACACAUAAACAUAACAUUUCAAUCUUAAUAUUUGGGACUUGGGUUUUACCCUCUGGAGAUUUGAUUUCUUGACCCAGUUUCUUUUUUUGUGUACAGUUUGGGGAUUUCUUUAACCACAGUUUAUCAUCUUGCAUAUUCUCUGUACAACUGGCUAGUUGCUUGCAGCAGUUUGACUUCAUUUUAAACAGAAACCUUUCUUUAACCAAAUUUAGAUCAUUUACAUUAAAACAAAAAAACAACUUUUUUUGACAAAAUGUAAAAUCGUUAACAUUUAAAAAAAUAUUUUUUCUUCCAUAAAAAUUUUUAUUAUUCUAACAGAAAGAAGUGUUAUCCUAACCCCGUGUUUCCCAAACCGUUUCCUUGUCGGAACACUUAUGCUUAUUUUUUAGAGACUAAUGCACAAGGUGUCCUACUAAUUAAUUAUUCCAAUAGUUCGUGGAACCCUAGUGUUCCCCUGAACCACAGUUUGGGAACCACUGCCCUGACCAAUUGUUGUCUCUACAAGCUGAGCGAUAGAUUACAACUUCCUGUUAUUGUUAGAAAUCUUUUUAAAAAGUUAGUUAUUAUUAUUGCUACUGUCAAGUGUUAUAUAAAAAAAAACGUGUUGUGGUUCAACUGUUUUUGUUGUAUUUAUUUAUUAACUUGUAUAUAAAGACUUGUUGACAUUAGUUUCGAUGCAAUAAAAAACUUUUUUUCUCAUGUGCAUUAUUUGAACCGUGAUUUUAAAUGUAUAUAUUCUAUCAUUGUGAUGUGACUCCUAUACACUUGUAUUAUAUUUAACUGUUUAAUUUUGUGCAGUUUGUUUUGUUUCCAAUAAACCUAAAGGUUUUAUUCCUAUCAU